GAAAAAUGAUGAUUUUGCUGUACGUGGACCAAUAAUAACAUUUAGACAAAACAGCCAACGGUAGAUAAAGUAGACAAAGCUAGAAGUAGAGAAAGUGUCUCCAUCAUCAGUUAGACUCGAGGUUUUGAGGUAGAAACAAUAAAAGUACAUGAUAGGCUUUGACAGAAAUAUACGAAUGACAAUUAGUGAUAAUUCAGGAAUAAUAAUAAGAAGAAAAAAAAGAAAAAUUUAAUAAAACUCGCUGAAAUGGCGAGUACUGAAGACUCAAAUGAAAUCCUUGUGAAAAAUAGACUUAGACAAAAUGAGGACAUUGGUGUUGUAAAUAGCUUUGGCUCAAUGGACAUUGGCAGAGGACAUCGGUUGCGAAGUGAAACUGAUAGCUUUCCAAACAUAAAUGAAAGACCUGUCGACGAUAUUUCUAUUGAAUUUUUUUAUACGCCACACACUUUAACAUUACUUUUUCUUUCAAUUAGUGCUGUAAUCUACUUUGCCUUUGUCAGAGACAAUCAUGAUGUUGAUGACAAUUUAUGGGCUGGAAUUUUAUGUGUUAUAUUUUUUUUCCUCAUAAUAUCAGUGUUGACAUUCCCAAAUGGACCAUUUACAAGGCCACAUCCAGCUGUUUGGCGAAUCGUCUUUGGCUGUAGUGUUCUCUACCUCAUGUUUUUACUAUUUAUGCUCUUUCAAAGCUACGAAACUGUAAAGAAAAUCCUCGUAUGGGUGGAUCCAGGAUUAUCGACGUUUCGUAUUGAUAUGGACAAAGAAUAUGGUGUCAACUGUUCCGAUAUUACUGUCGAAAAAAUUUGGAAUCAUCUUGAUGUCUUUGCUCUGGCCCAUUUUCUCGGUUGGGUUUUCAAAGCUGUACUGGUCCGUCAUUUAGGUUUACUUUGGGCAACAAGUAUUAUGUGGGAAUUAACAGAAAUGGCAUUUGCACAUUUGUUACCAAAUUUCGUCGAGUGCUGGUGGGAUGCCGUUAUCCUGGAUGUCGCAGUGUGCAAUGCACUUGGAAUUUGGGUUGGUUUAAAAAUUUGCUCAAUACUGGAGAUGCGAGAAUACAAAUGGGUCAGCGUACGUGAUAUUGAGAGUACUACUGGAAAACUAAAACGUGUUGUUUUACAAUUUACACCCGCAAGCUGGACUUCGGUACGAUGGCUGGAUCCAUACUGUACAUACAUGCGUUUUGUUGCUCUCUGUCAGCUUGUCAUUUUUUGGCAAAUUUCCGAACUUAACACAUUUUUCCUUAAACAUGUUUAUGAAUUUCCACCGUCACAUCCAUUUGUCGUGAGUCGAUUGGUGUUGGUUGGCGUUAUUGUUGCACCCUCCGUUAGGCAAUAUUAUAUGUAUGCUACCGAUCCGACAUGUAAACGAGUUGGUACUCAAUGCUGGGUGUACGGUGCGAUAAUGGUCACGGAAGCAUUAUUAUGCAUUCGUCAUGGUGCUGAACUUUUUGAACGAACUCAGGCAGUUAAUAUCAUAGUCUGGUUACUAUGUCAAACAUUAAUAUCAGUUCUAUGUGUCUACGGUUGUGUUCUCUGGCAUCAAUACUUUGAGAAAGGAAAUAAUACCAUGGCGCCAGACACAAGUCCAACAACGCCUGAAUCACCUGGUACAUAGUUUUUAAAUAUAUUGUUUAUUUUUACGCUUUAUUAUUUAUGUUUUAAACUCGAUUACUAAAAAAAGAAACCUGGGAGGUGCUAAAAAAGAAUCUUUGGAACAUUGUGAUGAUAAGAAGAAAGACCUGUAAAGAUGAAGACAAAUUACAAUAGAAAUUUUUUUUUU